GCCAGUUAGUGGGAAGUCCGCGCCCUCAGGGAGCGCUCUCUUGCCGCUCUCAGCCCGGGAGCCGGAGCCCCGGGCCGCCCACGCUGAGCCGGACUAAUGCUGUUCCUCAUCCAAACCUUCAUGAGACAAUUGGGAAACUGAGGCCGGGAAAGGCAGGGUCUGGCCUGGGGUCCAAAAGAUGGGUAGACCCCAGAGAAGGGAGGGUUCCAACCUUCCCAUAAGAUUUACUUUGGGAAUGAGAGACCCUAAUAUCCUGGGAGACCCCUUCCCACCCCCUCCUAUGUGGGGCUCUUUCCUCUGGGCAUCCCCACAUGGGCACAGACACACGCACACACACACACACACACACACUGACUGCCCGAGUGGGGUCUGGAAGGGAAAUGGACACUGGGAGGUGACAGGGGAAAGAAGCAGGAGGUGGAGGCAGCUCUGCCAGGGGGCAGGGGCAGCCGGUCCCCUGCCAUGUGCCUGGGACCCAUAGCAUGGGGAGGGGGAGAGAUGCCACGCUGAUGGGCAGGGGGUCCCCAAGGUUCCCGGGGUCUGCCCCAGACACGCACAUCCUAGAGACAGCUCCCUACCCAGCUCACUUGGCUGGACACGCUCUGGAGAGCAGCACGCUCUCUUGCUGUAUCCCCAUGUCCCGAGGCUGUGGCUUCAAAAACGCCCGCAGUGAGAGCAUCUUCCGACGCUGCAGACGUUGUCAGGUCUCACCUCAGACGCUUCUGGCCAUUUGCCUGAAAGGACCCAAAGGUGGAGGUCUGUGCCUGAUCUGGGAGCAGAAGGUCAGUGGGCAAAAGAAGCAGGGAUGAGGCCAGGCAGGGCUCUGAUGCCUGGGGGCCGGCUGCUGGUCACCGUCUUUGCAGAGCUCCACGCAGGAGAUCAGGGAGGAGCUACUGGAUGGGGACACUCACGCUGUCUCCCUGAGUGAGGGGCAGGUGUACCACACCACCAGCGGGGUGGCUCCGGGUGAGUGCAGGCUUGGAGAGGUCUCUAGAACCAGGGCCCAGAGGUGGCUGGGGAAGGCCUCUUGCCUAGAAGCCACCCAAGUGACUACCCAGGGUUCUGCCAAGGGCUUUGCCCCUGAGUGGCCACAGCCCCAACCCAUGGAGUAUGAGUUCCUCCCGUCCUCUGCCCUCGCCGUUCAGCCCCAGCCUUGGGCAGGUGCAAAGUCACUUUUCACAUGGUUGCAAGAUUGUCAGAACCAAUCUUUUAUACACUGUUGCACUUCAGGAUGUGAACACAAGUAUUUUUCUACAGUCCAUUUUUUGAGUUGUCCCUCUUUGUCCGAAAAUGAGUCCCAGUGUGAAAAUGAGUGGGCCUUGAACCUGGAUGAGACCCGCAGGGUGGGGACAGUCAGUGCAGAUACCCUGGAGAAGCUGUGGAGCGCCUGGUGCCUGCCUUCCAGGGCAGCGACCUCUCCUGUGUCACCCUCCUCCUGUGCACCUGCCGAGCCUUCACCACCCAACAGGUCCUGGACCUGCUGUUCAAAAGAUGUGGAUUCUUUCAUCCUGAUUGCGACAAGGACAGCAGACCCCAGGACCGAGCAGGAAAUGACUGGGCUUUGAGUCAAGAAGAAGGGCUUGUGUCUCCAAGUGCCAUCUCCUCCAUCCUGGGCACCUGGCUGGACCAGUACCCAGAAGACUGCCAUCAACCUCAGACUUUGCCAGCCUACAUCAGCCAAUGGUGCUGCUCAGUGUGCCUGGCUCUGACCUGGAGCACCGUGUCCAACUUCUCCUGACCCCGCUGGGGUACCUGGAGCCCACUGAGGCAGAGCCCAAGAGUGAGAAAGCCUGGGGUGGGUACAUGUGAGCAUAUCAGGAGGGGUUGGUGCUGGACACACAGGAAAGAAUCCCCCAGACUGCAGUGUUGGCCUGGAGCAAAGACUGGCCUCAGACCACCCCUCUGGCGGACUGCGGUCAGGAAAGAUGUCGUGUUGUGGGUUCCUGGGCUGGAGCUUCUCUGGAAGGCUCUGGGAUGUGUUCUGUCUUUGGGAAGGCACAUGGAGAGCAGGCGGGGGGCAUCUUUUCUCCUCCUGUAGUUCCAGCACCAUCUCAGUACUUCGCACUGGCUCCAGCUCCGGUUCCCCUACAUUCUGAGGAGCCAGGUACAGGUGCAGAAGCCAGUGCAGAAGUAAAGCCCGCUCCAGAGCCGGAGGAACGUCCACCUUCAGCUGUAGUACCACCUGCAGCAGCUGCUCCAGAGCUGCAGGCAGCACCGAUAUUGGUUCCAUCAGCAGUGCUGGGAUGAGGGCCGGCAUCUGGAGCAGCUUCUAAAGGAAGCUGAGAGCCAGCUCAGGACCCACCAUCCCUGCAGGGAGAACCAUCACCUCACCUGCACCUGUGCCUGCUUCUACGGGAGACCCUGAGCUGCUCAGGACCCACCAUCCCUGCAGGGAGAGCCAUCACCUUACCUGCACCUGCUCCUGCAGGAGACCCUCAGCUGCUUAGGACUCAGGACUUCUGCAGGAGAAGCCUCACCUGGACCAGCUCCUGCUCCUGCAGGAGAAGGAGACCCUGAGCCAGCUCAGGACCCACGACCCCUGCAGGGAGAGCCAGCUCUGGAACUGCCGUCAGCGCCAGCUCCUGCGCCACAGCUUCAACCUGCUCCCUCACCAGAACCUUCCUUUCCCUCCCUGGUUAUUGUUUUUGUUUGGGUUUUAUUUUAUUUUUUCCUUUUACUCUCUUAUGGUUUUUUAUACUUUGUGAUUCAAAAUUUAAAUAUAAUAAAUUUAAGCAUUUCACUGUGUUAAACAAUUCAUAGCAUUAAAUACAUUCACAAUGCUGUGCAACCAUCACCACUGUCUAGCUCAGAAUAUUUCCCUCCCCGGAAGGAAGCCCUGCACCAAAGCGCUCACUCCCCAUUCCUCCCUCCCCCGGCCCCAAAACUCCUGAUCUGCUU
rnacentral:lncRNA from 1 species